rnacentral:lncRNA from 1 species
GGCUGUGUGUAAAUGAAGUUGAAUCUUACUACGUCAAUCACACUGAUAAUAAAGCCAACACAGCCAAAGCCAGCGCCCCAUCCAGCACCCAAGCCAGCGCCCCACCUCUUCCUCAUGACAAGCCAGUUCAAAGCAACACCUCCCAGGAAAAGGGUGACACUGCUUCAAACUAUUUACGUGAGCGCCACCCUGUUAAGCGGAACAACCUUAACCAGGGGGGUGGGGAUGUUUUCACUCCCAACCAAGUUCACAGAACAGACAGCGUCAUCUAUGAAAAUGAUGAACAUGAUCCUGAUCAGCAGCAAGUGGGAGCACUUAAUACAAAUUUUCAAAGAGAUAUCAGCAGUUCGCCUCGGAACCAUAUUUCACAUGUUGCUCAACCAAACUAUGCAAACCAGACAGAAAUUAAUAAAGAACGCAAAGUCAAUCAGGCUGGGGGAAGAGACCAAAGUAAGUAUCAUCUCAGAAUUUAACCUGUACGAUUUCUUAUCAGCAUAGGCUAUGUCCUGCUAUAGGAAAAACUUAAAGCAGCACAACGGAGGAACUGCUAAUCGCUAACGAGAUGCUACCGGCUAAACCUGUUGAAAUUUGCUUACUUUAACACUAUGACAAACUAGUGAGUCAACAACUUUCCUAACACAGUCAAACAUCAAGCAAGUGCAACACAAGACAAAGCAAGACGGCAAAUAAGUUACUUACUAACCCGGCAGAGAGAAGUACUCGCACGGCUUCCAGAAACUUACAUACAUACUUGUACAGAGUGUAUGUCAUGUUAUGUUAUGUUAUAUUAUGUUUGCUAUGUUAUGCUAUGGUAGGUUGUUGUGUGGUGCCUCGUCCUAAGAAUUUCAGUGCCCAGUCUGACCCUGUGUCAUUCUGUGCAUCUGACAAUAAAAGACUUGUAACUUGUAACA